rnacentral:rRNA from 1 species
UUUUCAGCGUCGCAGCAAAAGCGUUAAGCACACCGCCUGGGGAGUACGACCGCAAGGUUAAAACUCAAAUGAAUUGACGGGGACCCGCACAAGCAGUGGAGCAUGUGGUUUAAUUCGAAGAUACGCGCAGAACCUUACCAACACUUGACAUGUCUGUCGCGAACCUAAGAGAUUAGGUUCUUCAUUUAGUUGGACAGAACACAGGUGCUGCAUGGCUGUCGUCAGCUCGUGUCGUGAGAUGUUGGGUUAAGUCCCGCAACGAGCGCAACCCUUACUUUUAGUUGCCACCAUUUAGUUGAGCACUCUAAAAGAACUGCCAGUGAUAAGCUGGAGGAAGGCGGGGAUGACGUCAAGUCCUCAUGGCCCUUACGUGUUGGGCUACACACGUGCUACAAUGGUACUUACAAUGAGACGCAAAGAGGUGACUCCUAGCCAAUCUCAAAAAAGUACCUCAGUUCGGAUUGUACUCUGCAACUCGAGUACAUGAAGCUGGAAUUGCUAGUAAUCGCGGAUCAGCGCGCCGCGGUGAAUACGUUCCCGGGUCUUGUACACACCGCCCGUCACACCAUGGAAGUUGGUUACACCUGAAGGCAAAACGUAAAACUUUUGACUACGGUACGAUCAGCGACUGGGGUGAAGUCGUAACAAGGUAGCCGUAGGGGAACCUGCGGCUGGAUCACCUCCUU